UGUGUGCUUGUGUAUGGGUGCGCGUUUGAAUGGGUGCGUCGUGUGUAGAACUAGAUGCUGCAGUUUGCAGCUGGUUUGAUUCAUGUCGUGGGUCACUUACCAAUGUAUGUAGGCCUAAUUGGCUAUGACCUUUGAAAUAGUUGAAAGUAAAUCCCAGUAGUAUCUAGUGAAACACACAUGCAAACGCCCUUCUGUCCCUCAUUCCCUCAAACUCGAUCUUCUACAUUUGUUGUGUAAAAAGGACAUAGCAAGUUUUUUGUAUCAAUGAUCACUUUAGGAUAUUCCAGUGCAUUUACAUUCAAUAUAUACUGUACCUUGAGUGAGGUAGAAAUGCAUAUUGUUGCAAAUAUAAAUACUGUUAAUUUGUUAUUUUUUGUAAUUAAUCAUUUACUGAAUUUCUUUGUAGAAUAUGUUACUAUUAUUUGGGUUUUUGUUCUCUGCAUAACUGUCUCUUUCACCUAUAUUAAUUCCUCAGCAUUCAAGAUGUUUGUAGGGUCCUCACCUCAGCUACCUCUCACAAGGUGCCCCUGAAAAAGAAAUUCAAGACGUUUGGGUCCUCAGCUCAACUGACCAAGACCUUUGCUCAUUGAAGGCAUGAAGUAAUUUGUGAUGCCCCCACGAUUGCAGUUUUUAAAUCCAGAUGGCUUGCUCUUUUUAACAUGUGCGAGAGCUGGAUGGUCUUUCAACAACACUGCUCCGGGUCUUCAGCAAGAAAGGUGCUUCUCAUGCAAGGAAGAUACAGAGGAUCCUGGUGCCCAUGACUCAGGUAAAACAUGCACACUGCCAUGCAUCACAGUAAUGCUAAAAUUUCGAGAUCUAA